rnacentral:rRNA from 1 species
GACAGAGGUUGCAAACGUUGUUCGGAAUUACUGGGCAUAAAGCGCACGUAGGCGGUUCGUUAAGUCAUGUGUGAAAUCCCCCGGCUCAACCGGGGAAUUGCGCCUGAUACUGGCGGGCUAGAGAUCGAUAGGGGUGAGCGGAACUCCAGGUGGAGCGGUGAAAUGCGUAGAUAUCUGGAGGAACACCGGUGGCGAAAGCGGCUCACUGGAUCGAAACUGACGCUGAGGUGCGAAAGCUAGGGUAGCAAACGGG